UUAAAUUGAAGAGUUUGAUCAUGGCUCAGAUUGAACGCUGGCGGCAGGCCUAACACAUGCAAGUCGAACGGUAACAGGAAGCAGCUUACUGCU
rnacentral:rRNA from 1 species